UGGCGGCAGGCUUAACACAUGCAAGUCGAGCGGUAGCAGAUCUAGCUUGCUAGAUGCUGACGAGCGGCGGACGGGUGAGUAACGCGUAGGAACCUGCCCAGUAGUGGGGGAUAGCCCGGGGAAACUCGGAUUAAUACCGCAUACGCUCUACGGAGGAAAGAGGGGGCUUCGGCUCUCGCUAUUGGAUGGGCCUGCGUGAGAUUAGCUAGUUGGUGAGGUAAUGGCUCACCAAGGCGACGAUCUCUAGCUGGUCUGAGAGGGUGAUCAGCCACACUGGGACUGAGACACGGCCCAGACUCCUACGGGAGGCAGCAGUGGGGAAUAUUGCACAAUGGGCGCAAGCCUGAUGCAGCCAUGCCGCGUGUGUGAAGAAGGCUUUCGGGUUGUAAAGCACUUUCAGUGGGGAGGAAGGCCUCGUAGUUAAUAGCUGCGAGGAUUGACGUUACCCACAGAAGAAGCACCGGCUAACUCCGUG
rnacentral:rRNA from 1 species